rnacentral:rRNA from 1 species
CGGCGAGUGAAGCGGCAACAGCUCAAAUUUGAAAUCUGGCCCUUGGGUCCGAAUUGUAAUUUGUAGAGGAUGAUUUUGGUGCGGUAUCUUCCGAGUUCCUUGGAACAGGACGCCUUAGAGGGUGAGAGCCCCGUACGGUUGAAUGCCUAGCCUCUGUAAAUCUCCUUCGACGAGUCGAGUAGUUUGGGAAUGCUGCUCUAAAUGGGAGGUAAAUUUCUUCUAAAGCUAAAUACUGGCCAGAGACCGAUAGCGCACAAGUAGAGUGAUCGAAAGAUGAAAAGCACUUUGAAAAGAGGGUUAAAUAGCACGUGAAAUUGUUGAAAGGGAAGGAUUUAUGACCAGACUUUUUCUGGGCGGAUCAUCCGGUGUUCUCACCGGUGCACUUUGCCCAGUUUAGGCCAGCAUCGAUUUUUGGAGAGGGAUAAAAGCUUUAGGAAUGUGGCUCCUCCGGGAGUGUUAUAGCCUAUUGUAUAAUACCUUUCCGGGGAUCGAGGUACGCGCUUCUGCAAGGAUGCUGGCGUAAUGGUUAUCAAUCACCCGUCUUGAAACACGGACCAAGGAGUCGAACAUUUGUGCGAGUGUUUGGGUGUUAAACCCUCACGCGUAAUGAAAGUGAACGGAGGUGAGAGCCCUUACGGGUGCAUCAUCGACCGAUCCUGAAGUUUUCGGAUGGAUUUGAGUAAGAGCAUAACUGUUCGGACCCGAAAGAUGGUGAACUAUGCGUGGAUAGGGUGAAGCCAGAGGAAACUCUGGUGGAGGCUCGCAGCGGUUCUGACGUGCAAAUCGAUCGUCAAAUCUGCGCAUGGGGGCGAAA